AAUCUUCCGCAAUGGACGAAAGUCUGACGGAGCAACGCCGCGUGAACGAAGAAGCCCUUCGGUUCGUAAAGUUCUGUUGUUUGGGAAGAACAAGUACCAGUGUAACUUCUGGUACCUUUACGGUACCUAACCAGAAAGCCACGUCUAACUACGUGCCAGUACCCCCGGUAAUACGUAGGUGGCAAGCGUUGUCCGGAAUUAUUGGGCGUAAAGCGCGCGCAGGUGGUUCCUUAAGUCUGAUGUGAAAGCCCACAGCUCAACCGUGGAGGGUCAUUGGAAACUGGGGGACUUGAGUGCAGAAGAGGAAAGUGGAAUUCCAAGUGUAGCGGUGAAAUGCGUAGAGAUUUGGAGGAACACCGGUGGCGAAGGCGACUUUCUGGUCUGUAACUGACACUGAGGCGCGAAAGCGUGGGGAGCAAACAGG
rnacentral:rRNA from 1 species